rnacentral:rRNA from 1 species
CCUACGGGAGGCAGCAGUGGGGAAUAUUGGGCAAUGGGCGCAAGCCUGACCCAGCGACGCCGCGUGGGUGAUGAAGGCCUUCGGGUCGUAAAGCCCUGUCGGGUGGAAAGAACGACUGUGGGGCGAAUAGCCCUACAGUGUGACGGUACCACCGAAGGAAGCACCGGCCAAUUCCGUGCCAGCAGCCGCGGUAAGACGGAAGGUGCAAGCGUUGCUCGGAAUCACUGGGCGUAAAGGGUGCGUAGGCGGCUGUGCAAGUCUGGCGUGAAAGCCCCGGGCUCAGCCCGGGAAGUGCGCUCGAAACUGCACAGCUCGAGUGCCGGAGGGGAGAGUGGAAUUCCUGGUGUAGCGGUGAAAUGUGUAGAUAUCAGGAGGAAUACCGGUGGCGAAAGCGACUCUCUGGACGGCAACUGACGCUGAGGCACGAAAGCGUGGGGAGCAAACAGGAUUAGAUACCCUGGUAGUCCACGCCGUAAACGAUGGGCACUAGGUGUCGGGGGUAUCCACUCCCUCGGUGCCGCCGCUAACGCAUUAAGUGUCCCGCCUGGGAAGUACGGUCGCAAGAUUAAAACUCAAAGGAAUUGACGG